GAUGAACGCUAGCUACAGGCUUAACACAUGCAAGUCGCAGGACUGGCGCACGGGUGAGUAACGCGUAUCCAACCUUCCCAUGACCACGGGAUAACCCGUUGAAAGACGGACUAAUACCGUAUGGUGAUGGUUGGGGAGGCGUCUGAUUAGCUUGUUGGCGGGGUAACGGCCCACCAAGGCGACGAUGUGUAGGGGUUCUGAGAGGAAGGGCCCCCGCAUUGGAACGGAGACACGGUCCAAACUGCUACGGGUGGCAGCAGGGGGGGACAUUGGUCAAUGGGCGAGAGCCUGAACCAGCCAAGUAGCGUGUAGGACGACGGCCUAUGGGUUGUAAACUGCUUUUAUGCGGGGAUAGGUACCGCAUGAAUAAGGACCGGCUAAUUCCGUGCCAGCAGCCGCGGUAAUAC
rnacentral:rRNA from 1 species